rnacentral:rRNA from 1 species
UUGGCUGUCUUAAUGUUUAAAACGCAUUCAAUAGCAAGGGCUGGGCAAGACCGGUGCCAGCCGCCGCGGUAAUACCGGCAGCCCGAGUGGUAACCACUAUUAUUGGGUCUAAAGGGUCCGUAGCCGGGCCAAUCAGUCUUCUGGGAAAUCUGGCAGCUCAACUGUCAGACGUCUAGGGGAUACUGUUGGCCUUGGGACCGGGAGAGGUAAGAGGUACUUUAGGGGUAGGAGUGAAAUCUUGUAAUCCUUAAGGGACCACCAAUGGCGAAGGCAUCUUACCAGAACGGGUCCGACGGUGAGGGACGAAAGCUAGGGGCGCAAACCGGAUUAGAUACCCGGGUAGUCCUAGCCGUAAACGAUGUUCGCUAUGUGUCAGGGACGGCCUGACCGUUCCUGGUGCCGAAGGGAAGCUGUGAAGCGAACCACCUGGGAAGUACGGCCGCAAGGCUG